rnacentral:rRNA from 1 species
CGACGGGUGAGUAACACGUAUGCAAUCCACCUGUAACAGGGGAGUAACCCGGAGAAAUCCGGACUAAUACCCAUAAUAUGGGCGCUCCGCAUGGAGAGUCCAUUAAAGAGAGCAAUCUUGGUUACAGACGAGCAUGCGCUCCAUUAGCCAGUUGGCGGGGUAACGGCCCACCAAGGCGACGAUGGAUAGGGGUUCUGAGAGGAAGGUCCCCCACAUUGGAACUGAGACACGGUCCAA